rnacentral:rRNA from 1 species
UGGGGAAUAUUGCACAAUGGGCGCAAGCCUGAUGCAGCCAUGCCGCGUGUGUGAAGAAGGCCUUCGGGUUGUAAAGCACUUUCAGCGAGGAGGAAGGUGGUGAACUUAAUACGUUCAUCAAUUGACGUUACUCGCAGAAGAAGCACCGGCUAACUCCGUGCCAGCAGCCGCGGUAAUACGGAGGGUGCAAGCGUUAAUCGGAAUUACUGGGCGUAAAGCGCACGCAGGCGGUUUGUUAAGUCAGAUGUGAAAUCCCCGGGCUCAACCUGGGAACUGCAUUUGAAACUGGCAAGCUAGAGUCUCGUAGAGGGGGGUAGAAUUCCAGGUGUAGCGGUGAAAUGCGUAGAGAUCUGGAGGAAUACCGGUGGCGAAGGCGGCCCCCUGGACGAAGACUGACGCUCAGGUGCGAAAGCGUAGGGAGCAAACAGGAUUAGAUACCCUGGUAGUCCACGCUGUAAACGAUGUCGAUUUUGGAGGUUGUGCCCUUGAGGCGUGGCUUCCGGAGCUAACGCGUUAAAUCGACCGCCUGGGGAGUACGGCCGCAAGGUUAAAACUCAAAGGAAUUGACGGGGUC